rnacentral:rRNA from 1 species
UGGGGAAUAUUGCACAAUGGGCGCAAGCCUGAUGCAGCCAUGCCGCGUGUAUGAAGAAGGCCUUCGGGUUGUAAAGUACUUUCAGCGGGGAGGAAGGCGAUAAGGUUAAUAACCUUGUCGAUUGACGUUACCCGCAGAAGAAGCACCGGCUAACUCCGUGCCAGCAGCCGCGGUAAUACGGAGGGUGCAAGCGUUAAUCGGAAUUACUGGGCGUAAAGCGCACGCAGGCGGUCUGUCAAGUCGGAUGUGAAAUCCCCGGGCUCAACCUGGGAACUGCAUUCGAAACUGGCAAGCUAGAGUCUUGUAGAGGGGGGUAGAAUUCCAGGUGUAGCGGUGAAAUGCGUAGAGAUCUGGAGGAAUACCGGUGGCGAAGGCGGCCCCCUGGACAAAGACUGACGCUCAGGUGCGAAAGCGUGGGGAGCAAACA